rnacentral:rRNA from 1 species
CUCUGAUGUCAGUUGGUGACCAGCGGAGGGAUCAUUACCGAGUCUAAACAACUCAUCAACCCUGUGAACAUACCUAAAACGUUGCUUCGGCGGGAACAGACGGCCCCGUGAAACGGGCCGCCCCCGCCAGAGGACCCCCUAACUCUGUUGCCAUGUGUUUUUUCUGAGUAAACAAGCAAAUAAAUUAAAACUUUCAACAACGGAUCUCUUGGCUCUGGCAUCGAUGAAGAACGCAGCGAAAUGCGAUAAGUAAUGUGAAUUGCAGAAUUCAGUGAAUCAUCGAAUCUUUGAACGCACAUUGCGCCCGCCAGUAUUCUGGCGGGCAUGCCUGUUCGAGCGUCAUUACAACCCUCAGGCCCCCGGGCCUGGCGUUGGGGAUCGGCGAGGCGCCCCCCGUGGGCACGCGCCGUCCCCCAAAUACAGUGGCGGUCCCGCCGCAGCUUCCAUUGCGUAGUAGCUAACACCUCGCAACUGGAGAGCGGCGCGGCCAUGCCGUAAAACACCCAACUUCUGAAUGUUGACCUCGAAUCAGGUAGGAAUACCCGCUGAACUUAAGCAUAUCAUAGGCCGGGAGGAA